GCGAUAGCUCAGUCAAUAGAGCAUGAGACUCUUAAUCUCAAAAUCAUGGGUUUGAGUCCCACGUUGGGCA